UAGAGUUUGAUCCUGGCUCAGAUCCUACGCUGGCGGCAGGCCUAACACAUGCAAGUCGAGCGGCAGCACAAGGGAGUUUACUCCUGAGGUGGCGAGCGGCGGACGGGUGAGUAAUGCCUAGGGAUCUGCCCAGUCGAGGGGGAUAACAGUUGGAAACGACUGCUAAUACCGCAUACGCCCUACGGGGGAAAGGAGGGGACCUUUUGGCCUUCCGCGAUUGGAUGAACCUAGGUGGGAUUAGCUAGUUGGUGAGGUAAUGGCUCACCAAGGCGACGAUCCCUAGCUGUUCUGAGAGGAUGAUCAGCCACACUGGGACUGAGACACGGCCCAGACUCCUACGGGAGGCAGCAGUGGGGAAUAUUGCACAAUGGGGGAAACCCUGAUGCAGCCAUGCCGCGUGUGUGAAGAAGGCCUUCGGGUUGUAAAGCACUUUCAGUGGGGAGGAAAGGUUGUAAGUUAAUACCUUGCAGCUGUGACGUUACCUACAGAAGAAGGACCGGCUAACUCCGUGCCAGCAGCCGCGGUAAUACGGAGGGUCCAAGCGUUAAUCGGAAUUACUGGGCGUAAAGCGUGCGCAGGCGGUUUGUUAAGCGAGAUGUGAAAGCCCCGGGCUCAACCUGGGAAUUGCAUUUCGAACUGGCAAACUAGAGUCUUGUAGAGGGGGGUAGAAUUCCAGGUGUAGCGGUGAAAUGCGUAGAGAUCUGGAGGAAUACCGGUGGCGAAGGCGGCCCCCUGGACAAAGACUGACGCUCAGGCACGAAAGCGUGGGGAGCAAACAGGAUAAGAUACCCUGGUAGUCCACGCCGUAAACGAU
rnacentral:rRNA from 1 species